GAUGACCUAAGAGUAUAUGCAUUUCCUACAUAUUUGAUAAGGGAAUCUGAUAAUUAUCAUUUGUGUUGAAGACCUAUUUAAUUAGGGAUCCUAAUAAUGAUGAUAAGAUACCCACCUGUAUAUACAACAGGGAUAGUCAAGUCUCUUAGGUCAUUU
rnacentral:other from 1 species